CGCUGGCGGCGUGCCUAAACACAUGCAAGUCAACUUGACUGAAGGAGCAAUCUGACAGUAGAGUGGCGCAAGGGUGCGUAACGCGUAAGUAACUUGCCCCAAGGUAAGGAAUAACGUCGAGAAAUCGGCGCUAAUACCUCAUAAUGCAGCGGAUCCGCAUGGAUAUGUUGUUAAAGGUUUACCGCCUUGGGAUAGGCUUGCGUCUGAUUAGUUAGUUGGUGUGGUAACGGCACACCAAGGCUACGAUCAGUAACUGGUCUGAGAGGAUGAUCAGUCACACUGGAACUGAGACACGGUCCAGACUCCUACGGGAGGCAGCAGUGAGGAAUAUUGGGCAAUGCUCGAAAGAGUGACCCAGCAACGCCGCGUGGAGGAUGAAGGUAUUCUAUAUCGUAAACUCCUGUGAGAGCAGACGAAAGACAGAUUAUUAAUCUGGAUGACUGUAUGCUCAGAGGAAGCCCCGGCUAACUACGUG
rnacentral:rRNA from 1 species